rnacentral:rRNA from 1 species
GUGAGGAAUAUUGGACAAUGGAUGGAAAUCUGAUCCAGCCAUGCCGCGUGCAGGAAGACGGCCCUAUGGGUUGUAAACUGCUUUUAUACGGGAGCAAUAAGGUCUAUGCAUAGAUUGAUGAGAGUACCGUAUGAAUAAGCAUCGGCUAACUCCGUGCCAGCAGCCGCGGUAAUCCGGAGGAUGCGAGCGUUAUCCGGAUUUAUUGGGUUUAAAGGGUGCGUAGGCGGCUUUGUAAGUCAGUGGUGAAAUUUUGCAGCUUAACUGUAAAAGCGCCGUUGAUACUGUGAAGCUAGGAUUUGGUUGCUGUGGGCGGAAUGUGUGGUGUAGCGGUGAAAUGCAUAGAGAUCACACAGAAUAUCGAUUGCGAAGGCAGCUCACAAAGCCAAUAUUGACGCUGAGGCACGAAAGUGUGGGGAUCAAACAGGAUUAGAUACCCCGGUAGUCC